rnacentral:rRNA from 1 species
UACAGAGGGUGCGAGCGUUAAUCGGAAUUACUGGGCGUAAAGCGUGCGUAGACGGUUAUUUAAGUCGGGUGUGAAAGCCCCGGGCUCAACCUGGGAAUUGCAUUCGAGACUGAAUAGCUAGGGUACGGUAGAGGGAAGCGGAAUUUCCGGUGUAGCGGUGAAAUGCGUAGAUAUCUGGAGGAACACCGGUGGCGAAGGCGGCAUCCUGGACCAACACUGACGCUGAGUGAGCGAAAGCCAGGGGAGCAAACGGG